GCUCAGAUUGAACGCUGGCGGCAGGCCUAACACAUGCAAGUCGAGCGGUAGCACAGAGAGCUUGCUCUCGGGUGACGAGCGGCGGACGGGUGAGUAAUGUCUGGGAAACUGCCUGAUGGAGGGGGAUAACUACUGGAAACGGUAGCUAAUACCGCAUAACGUCGCAAGACCAAAGUGGGGGACCUUCGGGCCUCAUGCCAUCAGAUGUGCCCAGAUGGGAUUAGCUGGUAGGUGGGGUAACGGCUCACCUAGGCGACGAUCCCUAGCUGGUCUGAGAGGAUGACCAGCCACACUGGAACUGAGACACGGUCCAGACUCCUACGGGAGGCAGCAGUGGGGAAUAUUGCACAAUGGGCGCAAGCCUGAUGCAGCCAUGCCGCGUGUGUGAAGAAGGCCUUCGGGUUGUAAAGCACUUUCAGCGGGGAGGAAGGCGGUGAGGUUAAUAACCUCAUCGAUUGACGUUACCCGCAGAAGAAGCACCGGCUAACUCCGUGCCAGCAGCCGCGGUAAUACGGAGGGUGCAAGCGUUAAUCGGAAUUACUGGGCGUAAAGCGCACGCAGGCGGUCUGUCAAGUCGGAUGUGAAAUCCCCGGGCUCAACCUGGGAACUGCAUUCGAAACUGGCAGGCUAGAGUCUUGUAGAGGGGGGUAGAAUUCCAGGUGUAGCGGUGAAAUGCGUAGAGAUCUGGAGGAAUACCGGUGGCGAAGGCGGCCCCCUGGACAAAGACUGACGCUCAGGUGCGAAAGCGUGGGGAGCAAACAGGAUUAGAUACCCUGGUAGUCCACGCUGUAAACGAUGUCGAUUUGGAGGUUGUGCCCUUGAGGCGUGGCUUCCGGAGCUAACGCGUUAAAUCGACCGCCUGGGGGAGUACGGCCGCAAAGGUUAAAACUCAAAUGAAUUGACGGGGGCCCCGCACAAACCGUUGAACCAUGUGGUUUAAUUCAAUGCAACGCGAAAGAACCUUACCUGGGUCUUGACAUCCCCCAGAACUUUUCCAAAAGAUGGAAUUGGUUCCCUUCCGGAAACUGUGAAGACAAGUUGCUGCAU
rnacentral:rRNA from 1 species